rnacentral:lncRNA from 1 species
UCAGCAAAUCUGAGUGUCACCAAGCAGUUCUGAAGCGAGCUACAUAGAGGCAUCCGCGGGAGCCAUUUGCAGAACAGACCUGGAACCCAGAAGUCACCCGGAAAGAUGCUUGAUCACAGCAUCCAGACUCCUCAGCUACUGAUAGGAAAAUGCAGCCAUUUGGAAGCUUGACAGCCUCCGGUGGAAGCUUGUUUGGAAGCCUGGAGGAAAAGUGGGCAAAGGAAGAGGUCUAGAUGUCACAGCUUUUAUGUACUUUGGAUAAUGCUUCUCCAGAGGAGGAAUGCCAAGAAGGGAAUGCAAAGGCUGAUA